GGAGAGGCGGUCCUUUGAAGAUGCGCGACGUUCUCAGUUCCUGUGAAUGAGAUUCCAAAAGACAAGUCCUUCCCACUCCCUAACUCCAUCGAUCAAGAAGUUUCUCCUGAAGGUAUGGACUCAAUCCAGAGCCAGUGAUAAAUGAAUGCCUACUGGCUGAAUAUGAAUGUGUCCAGGUCUUCUCAGUGCUCCCUGUGGACCCCAGAAGGAACCUGCUUGUAUUGCAAGGCCUGAAAUGCUGUGUGCUGCCUUGACUUCUCUGAGCCUCACAGAGCCCCACCUUGCUCUUAUCAGACAUGUCCCCACCCAUCGGGAAAGUCUCUCCUCCUGGCUAGUCCACCUCCCAGCUGGACCAGCUGCUCCCCAUUUGGUUCUCCAUCUAAUGGUUUCACCUCCCAGCCAGCCUGUGGAAUUAUUCAAACAAGCCAAUCACAUUCUCCCUUGGAGACCAGGGGCACCCCACCCUUCAGUUAAUAAAUGCAUGUUAUCUACAGACUCUGUGGGUUCCCUGUGCUCCCGAGUGCAGCCCCGGAUGGCCCUGUGUCAUGUGCAGUGUCUUCCCCCUGGCUGCUGGAUUUUCCAGCAACAGGCACCAUGAUGGAGUUUGGAUCGGAGGGAAGAUGGGUCCCAGUAGGAAGAAACAGCUGUGUACAUUUCUGCUGUUGGAACCUUUGUGGAUAAGCCCCAGAAGAUGCCAGUGGCUGGCUGGGUGAGGAAAGGGUACUUGGAUGGAGCUCUGCACACCACUCCCUCCCGCUGGGUCCUGGCCCUCUCCUGCAGGGCUCCACCCUCCCCCUGAGGAGCAAGACUAGAAAGACCCAGCUGCGGCCUCAUUACUGCUCUCAUCCAACCAGUCUCCUCUGCCCAGGCCCGAUGCUUGGGUCUCAGUUCCCCCAAAUCAGCACUUGCAAUCUGCCCGAGACUUCAGCUGAGACUGAACCUCUUGAAUUCUUGAGAAUGACUGCCUCCAGGUAUGUGUCUAUACCGCCUGGGAACCGGAAAAUAGAAGUCUGUGUUCCAAAAGGAAUGUAUUUGAAUUCCCUGUAAUUGCUUUGUUGGGCCAGAGCAGCGGGACCUCAGAUCAGCCUUGAGGCACCAGGACUGUCCUAGUUACCCUAAUACGUGUCCUAGGUCUUUUGUGUGAUUAAAGAGAAGGAGAGAGGGGCCAAGGUAUCAGGUCCCAGAUGGCUGGUGCUGUCAGUCCUCGGACCCGAAUCCACAUGAGACAGAAAACCUGCCCAGAGACACAGACAGUGAGGGAGGAGGUGAGCACUGGGCUAUGCUCUCUAGGUUGGGGGGCCAGCAGGCUGGGAGACCAGAGAGUCUGUACACAGUAGGGGCCUAAUUCAUACCUGUUGAAUGGAAAGGGUGAUGAGGCAGCAGAACAGCUUCCUAGAAUGCCAGAGAGCUCUGCUCAGUCAUAGGCUACCCUACCCACAGAAGCCCAGCCUUCUAGAACUUACCCAUGCCCCCUUGCUGGUGUUCAACUGUCUCUGACAGUCAAGAUUUUUCAACCCCAGUGCAAUAGACUUCAACUUAAGAUUUGAUCAUAUUUCUCAUCUGCUCAAAAAUCUUUCCGGCUCCCCAAGACCUUCAGUAGUGCUCACUACAGUAUUUGUCACACUAGGUGUUAUUUAAAAUUGGCUUCUGUGGGGGCGCCUGGGUGGCGCAGUCGGUUAAGCGUCCGACUUCAGCCA